rnacentral:rRNA from 1 species
GAUGAACGCUAGCGGCAGGCCUAAUACAUGCAAGUCGAACGGUCCACUUCGGUGGAUAGUGGCGCACGGGUGCGUAACACGUAUGCAACCUACCUUACAUUGGGGGAUAGCCUUUCGAAAGGGAGAUUAAUACCGCAUAAGACAGUAACAUGGCAUCAUGUAGCUGUUAAAGAUUUAUCGAUGUAAGCUGGGCAUGCGUCCAAUUAGUUAGUUGGUGAGGUAAUGGCUCACCAAGACGAUGAUUGGUAGGGGAACUGAGAGGUCAAUCCCCCAAACGGGCACUGAGAUACGGGCCAGACUCCUACGGGAGGCAGCAGUAGGGAAUAUUGGGCAAUGGACGCAAGUCUGACCCAGCCAUGCCGCGUGCAGGAAGAAGGCGUUCUGCGUUGUAAACUGCUUUUAUAUAGGAAGAAACGACCCUUGCGAGGGGCAUUGACGGUAUUAUAUGAAUAAGCACCGGCUAACUCCGUGCCAGCCGCCGCCGUAACAC